AUGUAAUGGACAUUAUAAAGCCAGUUACUAAUGCUACUCACGAUUUUUUUUUUUUUUUGAAAUUACUCCUACUUUCCGUCCUUCGACAUACAACCUAACUUAUCAAUUACCCCAUUUUUUCACAACCACCCUUUUUAAUUCUCCUCUAAAACUGCUCUGAAGCUUUUCCAAAUCUCAAUUAUGGAAGAUAUCAACAAGGGAUUUCAUUACAUACUACUUCCAAAUUUGGUGUUCACGGUAGCAGAUGGGGGGCGAGAGUUUCGAGCACAAGAGAGAGAAACCAGAGCUUGUAAUUCCUCACCAUCAUUUGGCGAGUGGGUUGAUUCCGAAAUCAUUGUCUGUUGAAGGAGAGCAGGUUGCUACUAGGUGGCCUAAUUGGCUUGCCGCCGUUGCAAGGGAGGCUAUCUAAGGGUGGGUGCCGCAGCGAGCUGAUUCAUUGAGAAGUUAAAUAAGGAAUUUUCAGCCACGGUCGCUUGCCAUGUCCAAUACUUAUGGCCUUACGCCAGCUUCUGAUUCUAUACUUCAAGAGAUUUGUCAGAACUGAAAAUCAGAACUCAAAUCAAAGCAUAAAUUCAGAGCUGAAUUCAGAGCUUAACUUUUAGAUCUGAAGUUCAGAACUGAAAAUCAAAACUGAAAUCAGAGCUGAAAUUCAAAGGAGUAUUUGGCAAAACUUGCAGCCUACAAAAAUGUAGAAUUGGAUGAGAUUCGAGAACAAUGGGCUCUCAGUUUUUUAGACUUAAUUUUUUGUUGAAAAGACUAGUUAUCUUAUUAAUCGAUGUUAUAAUUAAUUACAUUUAGUUCAAUUAAAUAAAACAAUAUAACACAUUUAUAUAUCUACUUUUAUUUAGCCUAUCGGUUAUUGUUGUUACAUUUCUAAAUUAUAAAUCAAUGAUUUCUUUAUUCAAGUUUUAAUUGAUUUUUGGAACGUAUGGUUAAUUUUGUUGUAUUGUAUUGUUGUGGAUGAAUUCAAGAUGUGUGGAAUUAUUUAGAGUGUUUGUAUUGUAUGUUGUGGGUGAAUGGAAGAGCUAUUGGUUUUGGGGAUUUAACAUUGAUUAAGUUAAAUACAUUUCCAACGGUCAUGGUUCUUCGGCUUUAUAGUUCUUUUGAUUCUGAAAAUUGUAAGUUUAACUUAACUUUUGGAAGGAGUUUACAACUAACAGUAGCCGAUGUUCGUGAUGUGUUAAUGAUACCAAUAGGAGCAACAACUGUUCCUAUUUCACUUAAAAGGAAGAAUACUGAAUUGAAGACAUUGGAGAAAAUUAUGAUAUGGGAAAAAAUCUCUAGAUAUAUCAGUUCCUCUUUUGUUUAGUAAGAUGACAACUGAUGAGGGGAUGCUAACAGGAAACAAUGAGUUUGGAAAAUGCUUUGUUAUGUAUGUAAUGGUUACAUUUCUUGCUCCUACAUCAAAUCGAUCAGCUGACUUCAAAUUGGUUUUAGCUUUGGAGAAUGUAAUUACGGAGAUCAAGAAGUUUAACUGGUGUCAGAAUAUGUUAGAUGAUUUGUGUGACAAAUUGGCGAGUUCUUCUACACAAAAGUAUGUGCUUGGAAGUAUUCUGCUGCUUUAGAUUUGUUAUUUUCAUAGGAUUCAAGUAGAAGGGUUUUUUGUUGACAGGUCAGUGCCCUUGAUCAUGCAUUGGAAUGAUGAAACUUUUAAAGAUAGGUUGGAAAAAGAAAAGGCACCAAUGUAAAAAACGCUAUUAGCAACUGGCAAAAAGUGGCUUUUAACAACUGGCGCGUGGGGCUGCUAUUGCGGGGGCUACUAAUGAGAAUAUUAUUU